rnacentral:lncRNA from 1 species
UUGGUCUUGUUGUAGUUGAUCCGACUUACUAAGCUCUUGUUUGAUCGGAGAGUCUGACCUUUCUUGCCCGUCGGCUGCUGGAUACUCGAUGGCACGGCUGAGAGAUGAUAUCAUGGCGGUGACAUCAGACUCAUUCCAAGACGGAUUCUCCGCCGCCGACGUUUCCAGUGGAACCGAUUCCUUUCCAUACCUCCGAUCCAGUUUUACAACAAACUAUGUGUUCACACACGCACGGUAAGAACAGCACAGCACCUAUAUGUGAGUCAAAGGAAUGAUUAAUAGAGCAUGGAGCUUGCCUUGGUGAUGAGGAAGUUGGGAGGAAAAUUAAGGGUUUUCUGUAUAUAGCUAUAUUGAUGUUAUGAGGAAAGUAGAGUU